rnacentral:lncRNA from 1 species
UUUUUUUUUUUUUUUUUUGAGCUUAGUUUAUCAUUUUCAAAAGUGAUCCAGGAGUCUACAUUUUAUCAAAGUUAUUUAAGAUAUUGAAAAAUAAUUUAAAAAAACAGUCAAUAAGUGAAUUGUGAGUUGUACAUUUGUCCAGUGCAACCACAACUCAAUGCAUACAUCACUGUUGUGGUUUAAGCCCAGAUGGCAACCAAGUACCACACAGCUGUUAAAUUUGGCUGCCACACUGGGAUGGGAAGGAGAAUUGAAAAAACAAGGAAAGAUAAAACCUGUGGGUUGAGGUACAAACAGACACAACACCCUGGGGCUGUGCCAAGCACGUCCUGGAGGAGCCAGUGUCUGCUCUCCUGAAGCCCAGGGUGAGGAAAGCAGCUGAGAUGGAGGCUCGGGGAGACACUCCUCUCUUUUCCUGGUCCUGCAGAAGAGGACUGCAUGUGGGAGGAGCAGCCCCAGCGAGAAUGAGCAUCGUAUUUAGGGAGUCUCUUCUUCGGUGAAACAUGGUGCUCUUCCUCACUUUGGGGCACCCCCAAGAGCUUUGUGGUGGCAGCCACAUGGUGGCAUGCUGCAAACAGUGCCAGGCCCUCCUUGCUGCCCUGCUCCACCCCUCCCAUGGACCGGGUGACUGGGGAGCUCCCAGCAUUGGGGCUGAGUUGCUGCCCACACCUGCCUGCCACCUUUCAGACUCUGCUUCCUAGGAAGCAGGCCGAAAUGUUGGUGUCGAGAGUUUUGGGGACCACGUCUGCCACAGCAAGGGCAGCCGAGCAUGGGGUGAGGCUGCUCAGGGGGGACCACGGCCUCUCAGUGCCUUCUGGGCCCCAGAGACAGAAGCAAAGACUAAACACUCAUGGAGAUUUCAACUGGAAAAUGCUGGCAGGGGGGAGGUGGCUCUUUGGUAGUCCACAAAGGCUCUGCCUUUGAGCAGAAUCCUCUCAUUGGAGGUCCCAGGCCAUGCCAGGCAUCAAAGUGGCCCUUUCUGUCCUUCCCUAGCACUCCAGGGGAGCAGGAGGCAGGACGUUUGUGAGCAGUUAUCUGGUACCCAGAGGAAGACCCAACCCUGGCAUGGCUUUCAGCAAAAUCCCCCCUUGGCACAGCAGCUGGCAAAUCUCCAGCCUUCUCCUUCCAUGCCAGCAAUAAGACAUGGGAGCAGGCUAGCAUGUGGCUCAUGUCACAGCUCACAACAUCUGUCUGCUUAACCUGAGACGUGGUGCCUCCAGCGCUGGGCCAUGUUCCCAUGUUUCAUACUACAUCCCCAUUAAUAUUGCAGGGUGCCACACUGCUGCAGGUACUGUGUAACCCACUCUGGAGCUGUGGCUGUAUUGCAGGGUGGUGUCAGCUCAUGUCCCCACAAGAGCCACCCUGUGUCAGGGGUCAGCCUGUGCCAGGGCUGAGGAGGGACUGAGAGGCUGAAUCUGUAAUGGAUCCUCACCAGGCAAUUGUUGCUUAAGGCUU